CCUACGGGUGGCAGCAGUGGGGGAUAUUGGACAAUGGGGGGAACCCUGAUCCAGCGACGCCGCGUGAGUGAAGAAGUAUUUCGGUAUGUAAAGCUCUGUCAGCAGGGAAGAAAGAAAUGACGGUACCUGACCACGAAGCCCCGGCUAACUACGUGCCAGCAGCCGCGGUAAUACGGAGGGGGCAAGCGUUAUCCGGAAUUACUGGGUGUAAAGGGAGCGUAGACGGUUAAGUAAGUCUGGAGUGAAAGGCCGGGGCCCAACCCCGGGACUGCUCUGGAAACUAUUGAACUUGAGUGCAGGAGAGGUAAGCGGAAUUCCUAGUGUAGCGGUGAAAUGCGUAGAUAUUAGGAGGAACACCAGUGGCGAAGGCGGCUUACUGGACUGUAACUGACGUUGAGGCUCGAAAGCGUGGGGAGCAAACAGGAUUAGAUACCCGUGUAGUC
rnacentral:rRNA from 1 species